rnacentral:rRNA from 1 species
UACGAAGGGUGCAAGCGUUACUCGGAAUUACUGGGCGUAAAGGGUGCGUAGGUGGUCGUUUAAGUCCGUUGUGAAAUCCCUGGGCUCAACCUGGGAAUGGCAGUGGAUACUGGCAAGCUGGAGUAUGGUAGAGGAAGGUGGAAUUCCCGGUGUAGCAGUGAAAUGCGUAGAGAUCGGGAGGAACACCAGUGGCGAAGGCGGCCUUCUGGACCAAUACUGACGCUCAUGCACGAAAGCGUGGGGAGCAAACAGG